rnacentral:rRNA from 1 species
UACGGAGGGAGCUAGCGUUGUUCGGAAUUACUGGGCGUAAAGCGCGCGUAGGCGGCUUUGUAAGUUAGAGGUGAAAGCCCGGGGCUCAACCCCGGAAUUGCCUUUAAGACUGCAUCGCUAGAAUCCAGGAGAGGUGAGUGGAAUUCCGAGUGUAGAGGUGAAAUUCGUAGAUAUUCGGAAGAACACCAGUGGCGAAGGCGGCUCACUGGACUGGUAUUGACGCUGAGGUGCGAAAGCGUGGGGAGCAACAGG